ACAGGUGCGAAAGCUGAGCUUAGCAUGGCUAAGUCCUUUGGACAAACUUGUGUGGCUUGUUACAAGGAGCCAGAGGUUGAAUCUGGUUCUGGAUCAGGCUCUUCCUUGCCUAGAUUUUCAGGUCCUGGAUAAUAUACUUCUCUAAGCUGGGCCUCUGUUUCCCCACUUGCAAAUGAGAAAAUUAGGAUAACCCAGAAUCUUCUGGUUCUAAAGUUGAGUGGCUUCCACAGUAAGAAAAGGGUAACUAACUUUUAUGGACUAAAUUGUGACCUUCCAGAAUUAAUGUGUUGAAACCCUAGACCCCAGUGUGAUGGUACUUGGAGACAGGGCCUGUAAGGAGGUAAUUAAAUUAUCUGACCUCCAGAACUCCAGAACCAUGAACAAACAAGUUUCUCUUGUUUAAGGAACAGUCUGGCAUUUUGGUGUGGUGGCCCAAGCUGACAAACACAUGGACCAUCACACGAGGAUCCACGGAUUGGAAGGAGUCCCUAAUGGUGGAUUGGGAAGGAUCAUCCAGAUCAAACUCUGGAUAUGGGCCAGAGGGAGAUAUCCCAGAUGGACCGAAGAUGGGAGUCGAGAUAAGCAGAAUAAAGGAAGAAGCUCCUGCCUUCUCAGUUUGAGUCAGAUGGCAACAGCCCCUGAGAAGGGUCUUUCUGAACCUGUUUGAAACGUCCCACUCCUUGUUGUAGGAGGUGAAGAUGCUGGCAGACAAGAGUACAGACAUCAGAGCCAGGAGGACUUUGGUCUCUGCUUGGGCACUUCCUGCUGUGCAGCCUUGGAG
rnacentral:lncRNA from 1 species